ensembl:lncRNA
UGGAGCAGUACAUGUGUUCUCUGGUUAGGGUUCCAUCUUGGAUCAGUACAUGUGUUCUAAGGUUAGGGUUCCAUUUGUUCUCAACCUUUCCAAUGUCUGCUGUGGGACAAAAGAAGAAGGAGGUCUUACGCCAUCUAGUGGACUUCAGAAGCAAUGCUAUCUGAGUUGACAUACAGCUCCGGAAAAGAUGAUCAGUUUCUCUGGUUUUACUAUUUAUCGGUAUGUGUUUGAGUAAAAUGAACAUCUUUGUUUUAUUCUAUAAACUACUGACAACAUUUCUCCCAAAUUUUAAAUAAAAAUAUUGUCAUUUAGAGCAUUCAUUUGCAGAAAAAUGACCACUGGUCAAAAUAACAAAAAAUAUGCAGUGUUUUCAGAUCUCGAAUAAUGCAAAG